CCGUGGCUUCUAGAGUCUUCUAGAUGGUAGAAAAUCGUGCGGUGCGUUGAUAUCUCUAUGUAAUCCCAACAUGUGGGCCUUUCUUCCUUAUUUCCUGAUAACCCCCUGCAGAAACAGAUAAACAACAAAACUCGUGGAAUUCUGUCAGAUCAAACCCUAAUUCUAGGUGUUGGUUGUAUAUUGGUCCUUUCCCUUGUUUAUUUGAUAAUUAAAAUUAAUACUUAAGA
rnacentral:lncRNA from 1 species